rnacentral:rRNA from 1 species
CACGUAGGGUGCGAGCGUUGUCCGGAAUUAUUGGGCGUAAAGAGCUCGUAGGCGGUGUGUCGCGUCGGCCGUGAAAACUUGCAGCUCAACUGUGGGCGUGCGGGCGAUACGGGCAGACUGGAGUACUGCAGGGGAGACUGGAAUUCCGGGUGUAGCGGUGGAAUGCGUAGAGAUCCGGAAGAACGCCGGUGGCGAAGGCGGCUUGCUGGGACAGUGCUGACGCUGAAGCGCGACAGCGUGGGGAGCAAACAGG